CUUACUUUUCUUCCCUUUCUUUAUGGGAACUUAUCCACUUGCACAGCCUACAUGACCUGUGUCCUUUUCCUAAUUCAUCACCAUUUAAUGCCGACCCAUGAAGAAACACAUCCACAAAUAUUUGGUUGGAUAUCCAAGGUAAAGGUUCAUUGAAUCGUGUAUUCUACUUGUCGUUUACUUGUACACUACAUGAAUUGAAAGUAGACAAAAAUUCCCAGAUUUCCAACCAAAUCCAAAACAACUGUAGGUGGAGCAAAAGUCCCAGAUUUCUAACCAUAUCCAAAUCCUCUUAAAGGUGAAUUCUCAGGUUGAGGACCUCCAAUUGGAGUCCUCCCCCACAAAAGAAAGUUCUUCAUUGUAAAGUAAUAGCUUAAUUACUUGGUACCUUACUCAGACACACUCAGACACACCCAACAAGAGAAUUAUCCAUGAAACUGAAAACUGGAAACAUCUUCGCACUAUGGAACCUAGACCCCAUCUAUAAAUACUACCCCUAAUUCUCACAUCUCUCCUCUUCUCAAACCACUAUAUCUGCAGACAAACCACUCUCUAUAAAUACCACCCCUAUCUAGAAACUUCCUCGUGAAGGUAUACAAAAAGCCCAGUGAAAUUAAAGAGGAGGGAUUUUAGUUUUCUGCCAUGUUAUUUGCGUACCAUGCAUGAAAAAGUCUAAAAUGCAUAGUUGUAAUGUUCCUUUUGGACAAUUUCAUGCGUCUGUUUAACCAUUUCAGUUUAUUCAUUCUGAUGUAUGGGGCUAUCUCUAGUUUUGGUAGUAAAUGGAGUGAGAUAUUUUGUUCCUUCUAUUGGUGAUUUUACAAGGUUCACCUGGAUUUAUAUUUUGCAAAACAAAGAAGUGGUUUUGAUAGUUUCCUCAAAUCCCAGGCACUUGGAGAGACUCAGUUUGGCACAAGAAUUCAACAAAUACAAUCUGAUUGGGAUGCAAGGCCACUCAAAUAUUGGCCAUUUGCGUUUCAAACAGCAACCUACUGGAUCAAUCAAUUGCCCAAAGGUUCUUUUGUUUCUUUCUAUCCUCAUGAAUCUCUUUACCACUGCAAACCUAAUUACUAUGUUCUUCCAGUUUUUGGGUGUGCUUGCUACCCUUUUCUUCGCCCUACAACAAGCACAGACUUCAAUUUUGAUAUACUAAGUGCCUUUUCUUGGUUUACGACCCCAAACAUAAAGCACAUAUGCUUUUAUUUAGAUAACUCUUGUGGCCGAAAUUAUGUCUCGAGGCAUGUGGUAUUUGGUGGAUUUCAUUUUCCUUUUGUUGUACAAAAUGUUUCCUCUCCUGUCUCAUCAACUCCAUCCUCUCUUGUACAAAAUCUUGUCAUGAAACUGAAUUCUUUUACCGGAAGUACUUAAGAAUUUAUAGUAGCAACAAGCUAUGGUAGCUGAGUGUAUAUGAAGCCUUUAUCAUGAUCAUCGUUUCAACCAUCCUCUUUCUCCAUCUUCCAGCCUUUAGUCAUGCUGAUUGGGCCAGUUGCCUAGAUGGUCGUCGCAGUACAAGUGGUUAUUGUGUCCUUUUGGGGUCAAGCUUGAUCUCCUGGUCUACUGCUAAACAGAAGAUUGUUUCUAGAUCGAGGACUGAAUCCGAGUUUUAAGGUUUGGCCAAUGCAACAGCUGAAUUGACAUGGAUACAGUUUCUUUUUAGGGGAUUAUUUAUUCCUUUGAUUCAGCCACAUGCUCUCUACUGUGAUAAUUUGAGCACAAUGUACUUGGCCACUAAUCUGAUUCUUCGCUCCUGUGCCUAACAUGUGGUGAUAGACUACCACUUUGUUCGUAAACGAGUACUACAGAACACGUUGGAUGCUUAUUUCAUUCCGUCUUGAGUCAAUUGGCAGAUUUAAUGACUAAUGCUCUUCCUACGAGUCGGUUCAUUAGCCUUCAAAGCAAGACCAUAAUUCUUUCUCACUUUGUGCUCUUGUGGUGAUGUUAAGCUAAGUUUCAACUUCUUCCAAAAGCUUUUCAUGAAUGUAUAAAUAGCCCAUUGCAAUUAAAGAGAAGUGGGAUUUUAGUUUUCU